rnacentral:tRNA from 1 species
GUCCGAAUGGCGGAAAUGGUAGACGCGCUGGACUUAGAAUCCAGUGUUUUAAUAAAACGUAUCGGUUCAAGUCCGAUUUCGGACA